AGCAUGUGGUUUAAUUCGAAGCAACGCGAAGAACCUUACCAAGGCUUGACAUACACCGGUAACGCCCAGAGAUGGGUGCCCCUUUGUGGUCGGUGUACAGGUGGUGCAUGGUUGUCGUCAGCUCGUGUCGUGAGAUGUUGGGUUAAGUCCCGCAACGAGCGCAACCCUCGUCCUAUGUUGCCAGCGGGUCAUGCCGGGGACUCAUGGGAGACUGCCGGGGUCAACUCGGAGGAAGGUGGGGAUGACGUCAAAUCAUCAUGCCCCUUAUGUCUUGGGCUUCACGCAUGCUACAAUGGCCGGUACAAAGGGCUGCGAUACCGCGAGGUGGAGCGAAUCCCAGAAAGCCGGUCUCAGUUCGGAUUGGGGUCUGCAACUCGACCCCAUGAAGUCGGAGUCGCUAGUAAUCGCAGAUCAGCAACGCUGCGGUGAAUACGUUCCCGGGCCUU
rnacentral:rRNA from 1 species